rnacentral:rRNA from 1 species
GACGGAAGGUGCAAGCGUUGCUCGGAAUCACUGGGCGUAAAGGGUGCGUAGGCGGCCGUGCAAGUCUGGCGUGAAAGCCCCGGGCUCAGCCCGGGAAGUGCGCUCGAAACUGCGCGGCUCGAGUGCCGGAGGGGAGAGUGGAAUUCCUGGUGUAGCGGUGAAAUGCGCAGAUAUCGGGAAGAACACCCGUGGCGAAGGCGGCUCUCUGGGACGGUACUGACGCUGAGACGCGAAAGCGUGGGGAGCGAACAGG